rnacentral:rRNA from 1 species
AGAGUUUGAUCAUGGCUCAGAUUGAACGCUGGCGGCAGGCCUAACACAUGCAAGUCGAACGGUAACAGGAAACAGCUUGCUGUUUCGCUGACGAGUGGCGGACGGGUGAGUAAUGUCUGGGAAACUGCCUGAUGGAGGGGGAUAACUACUGGAAACGGUAGCUAAUACCGCAUAACGUCGCAAGACCAAAGAGGGGGACCUUAGGGCCUCUUGCCAUCGGAUGUGCCCAGAUGGGAUUAGCUAGUAGGUGGGGUAAUGGCUCACCUAGGCGACGAUCCCUAGCUGGUCUGAGAGGAUGACCAGCCACACUGGAACUGAGACACGGUCCAGACUCCUACGGGAGGCAGCAGUGGGGAAUAUUGCACAAUGGGCGCAAGCCUGAUGCAGCCAUGCCGCGUGUAUGAAGAAGGCCUUCGGGUUGUAAAGUACUUUCAGCGGGGAGGAAGGGAGUAAAGUUAAUACCUUUGCUCAUUGACGUUACCCGCAGAAGAAGCACCGGCUAACUCCGUGCCAGCAGCCGCGGUAAUACGGAGGGUGCAAGCGUUAAUCGGAAUUACUGGGCGUAAAGCGCACGCAGGCGGUUUGUUAAGUCAGAUGUGAAAUCCCCGGGCUCAACCUGGGAACUGCAUCUGAUACUGGCAAGCUUGAGUCUCGUAGAGGGGGGUAGAAUUCCAGGUGUAGCGGUGAAAUGCGUAGAGAUCUGGAGGAAUACCGGUGGCGAAGGCGGCCCCCUGGACGAAGACUGACGCUCAGGUGCGAAAGCGUGGGGAGCAAACAGGAUUAGAUACCCUGGUAGUCCACGCCGUAAACGAUGUCGACUUGGAGGUUGUGCCCUUGAGGCGUGGCUUCCGGAGCUAACGCGUUAAGUCGACCGCCUGGGGAGUACGGCCGCAAGGUUAAAACUCAAAUGAAUUGACGGGGGCCCGCACAAGCGGUGGAGCAUGUGGUUUAAUUCGAUGCAACGCGAAGAACCUUACCUGGUCUUGACAUCCACGGAAGUUUUCAGAGAUGAGAAUGUGCCUUCGGGAACCGUGAGACAGGUGCUGCAUGGCUGUCGUCAGCUCGUGUUGUGAAAUGUUGGGUUAAGUCCCGCAACGAGCGCAACCCUUAUCCUUUGUUGCCAGCGGUCCGGCCGGGAACUCAAAGGAGACUGCCAGUGAUAAACUGGAGGAAGGUGGGGAUGACGUCAAGUCAUCAUGGCCCUUACGACCAGGGCUACACACGUGCUACAAUGGCGCAUACAAAGAGAAGCGACCUCGCGAGAGCAAGCGGACCUCAUAAAGUGCGUCGUAGUCCGGAUUGGAGUCUGCAACUCGACUCCAUGAAGUCGGAAUCGCUAGUAAUCGUGGAUCAGAAUGCCACGGUGAAUACGUUCCCGGGCCUUGUACACACCGCCCGUCACACCAUGGGAGUGGGUUGCAAAAGAAGUAGGUAGCUUAACCUUCGGGAGGGCGCUUACCACUUUGUGAUUCAUGACUGGGGUGAAGUCGUAACAAGGUAACCGUAGGGGAACCUGCGGUUGGAUCACCU